rnacentral:rRNA from 1 species
AUUGAACGCUGGCGGCAGGCCUAACACAUGCAAGUCGAACGAGUGGCGGACGGGUGAGUAAUGCUUGGGAAUCUACCUUAUGGAGGGGGAUAAAUACGGGAAACUGUAGCUAAUACCGCGUACCAUAGGCUGAGCCCAGGUGGGAUUAGGUAGUGGGUGAGGUAAAGGCUCACCAAGCCGACGAUCCCGAGCUGGUCUGAGAGGAUGACCAGCCACACUGGGACUGCGCCACGGCCCAGACUCCUACGGGAGGAAGCAGUGGGGAAUAUUGCGCAAUGGGGGAAACCUGACGCAGCCAUGCCGCGUGAAUGAAGAAGGCCUUCGGGUUGUAAAGUUCUUUCGGUAGGGAGGCGUUACCUACAGAGGAAGCACCGGCUAACUCCGUGCCAGCAGCCGCGGUAAUUC